UUUUUAAGAAAAAACAUCUAUUUUGGGGGAAGAAAUUUAUUGUGACAAUGUAUUGUACUUGACAAAUUUUAGUUAUCAGUUAAGUUUAAUUUCUGAUAGAAACCCUAUCAGCAACUGUAUUAAAAUUUUAUACAUUCUUGGCCAGGCACAGUGGCUCACACCUGUAAUCUCAGCACUUUGGGAGACCAAGGCUGGUGGAUCACUUGAGGUCAGGAGUUUGAGACCAGCCUGGCCAACAUGAUGAAACCUCAUUUCUACUAAAAAUACAAAAAUUAGCCAGGCGUGGUGGCAGGUGCCUGUAAUCCCAACUACUCAGGAGGCUGAGGCAGGAGAAUCUCUUGAACCUGGGAGGUGGAGGUUGUAGUGAGCUUUGAUCACACCAUUGCACUCUAGGCUGGACAACAGAGUAAGACUGUGUCUCAAAAAAAAAAAAAAACCUUUAAAUUGUAUUCAUGGUGGAAAGAGUUGAAAUGUGAAUGGUCAGUAAAAACUUGUUUCAUUUUCUAAUCAUAUUACCUGCUUUAAAAACAAAAAUCAUGUUGUCUAAUUUCUUAUUAUAUAAUGGAAAGAAAGGUCAUCUAGGAUAUUAGCCUCUUUUAAAAAAAUCUUGUUGGCCAGGUGCGGUGGCUCACGCCUGUAAUCCCAGCACUUUGGGAGGCCGAGGCUGGUGGAUCACGAGGUCAGGAGAUCGAGGCCAUCCUGGCUAACACAGUGAAACCCAUCUCUACUAAAAAUACAAAAAAUUAACUGGGCGUGGUGGCGGGCACCUGUAGUCCCAGCUACUCGGGAGGCUGAGGCAGGAGAAUGGCGUGAACCUGGGAGGCGGAGCUUGCAGUGAGCCGAGAUUGCGCUACUGCACUCAGCUUGGGCAACAUAGCGAGACUCGUCUCAAAAAAAAAAAAUCUCGUUAUUCUACAAAGUAUAUCAAUCACUCCAUUAAAUCUUAUUUCAUUUAAAAACAAUUUUUGUUGGAGUUCCUCUUUCAAUUUGGGUCAAACAGCUCUUUACGUGAUGACUUUAUGUCAAACCUACAUAGAGUUUCUGGAGUGGGCUCCAUCCACUCCAUUACCAUACCUGAGAGAAUGUCAGAUUUCCUGCUUCCUCAUUUGCAUGACUUCUCAAAGUCAGCAUGUUGAUAAUGACUUAUAGAAAACAGUCCUUUUAAAAGGAAUGGCUUGCUAUUGGUUUGGGCAGGAGGCAUUUUGAAUGACUGAGCAGUUAAGUCAUCUCUUUAUUUGAGAAUAAAUGAUGAAGGGGUGUUUGAAUGGGUUACCAAGUUAUAAAUUAAUCUUGAGAUACUCAAAUGAUUGUAAACCACCUGAGCUUUCCUCUCAGCUUUUAAAUCAUAUGAUAUCAAUCUUUGCUCAUUUUCCUCUGGGUAAUUUGUUAUUAUGCUGAUGGUAACCAACUCCAUGAGACAUUAACCGGCAAUCCACAUUACCAGUGAGUAUACAUUACAGCACUAAAAUAAAAAUAAACUCACAGAAGAAAUAGCUUGAGAUCUCAACCAUGCUUUUCUGUCUACAAAACGGCAUGACAGUUUGGGGAUUUCUAGCUGAAAAUAAAUUUAAUUAUGUUACUACUUUGCUGCUGCUAAUUAGUGCCUAAGAUAUGUAUCAGGAGGGCAGCCCAGUGUAGGUUUCGAAAGAGGGUUUACUACAAAGGCAGGAUAGCAAAAUGGGUUACCUUUUUCACUCUCACUAUGUAAAGUGACAUUUAAAUUAGAUCCUGGAAAUUACCUUUUCUGUUUAUGUUAGCAAGAUAGUCUUCUCUUUUGCUUUAUUCAAAUAGGGAAGCAACUUUAUAACAUUUUGUAUCGCCUACAUGAAGUGUUUUGCAUAUCUGUAACCUUUCAAUUAAUGUUAUUUAUGUUUCAAUAAACCACCAUGCUACUUU
rnacentral:lncRNA from 1 species